AGGAUACGGUGCAGUCUGCCCCGGGCAGGCCUAACCUCCCACCCGUGAAUACCUGACCAACGUUGCUUCGGCGGUGCGCCCCCCCGGGGGUAGCCGCCGGAGACCACAUUGAACCUCUUGUCUUUAGUGUUGUCUGAGCUUGAUAGCAAACCUAUUAAAACUUUCAACAAUGGAUCUCUUGGUUCCGGCAUCGAUGAAGAACGCAGCGAACUGCGAUAAGUAAUGUGAAUUGCAGAAUUCAGUGAAUCAUCGAGUCUUUGAACGCACAUUGCGCCCCCUGGCAUUCCGGGGGGCAUGCCUGUCCGAGCGUCAUUGCUGCCCUUCAAGCCCGGCUUGUGUGUUGGGUCGUCGUCCCCCCCGGGGGACGGGCCCGAAAGGCAGCGGCGGCACCGCGUCCGGUCCUCGAGCGUAUGGGGCUUUGUCACCCGCUCGAUUAGGGCCGGCCGGGCGCCAGCCGGCGUCUCCAACCUUCUAUUUUACCAGGUUGACCUCGGAUCAGGUAGGGAUACCCGCUGAACUUAAGCAUAUCAAUAAGCCGGAGGAA
rnacentral:rRNA from 1 species